GUAGGUGAACCUGCGGAAGGAUCAUUACCACAUCCAAAACAUUUCCACCCACUUUGUGCACUUGUUGGGCAGCCAACGAGGGAACGAAAAACACCUCGCCUACCACUGCCACCACAAAAUAGAAGGAGGGAAAGAAAGGGGCAUUUUUUUUAAUGCCUCUGAUUUUCUUCGUUCUGUCCUUGUGGUGGCAGUUGUGGGGGACUAAUUUUCCUACUUCUGCGCUGUCAUUCCAAACAACAAAAACAAUUUU
rnacentral:misc_RNA from 1 species